UACGUAGGUGACGAGCGUUAUCCGGAAUACUGGGCGUAAAGCGCACGCAAGCGGUUGGACAAGUCUGGCGUGAAAUCUCCUGGCUUAACUAGGAGCGGUCGCUGGAAACUGUCGAGCUUGAGGCGAUGAGAGGGGUGCAGAAUUCCCGGUGUAGUGGUGGAAUGGCGUAGGAGAUCGGGAGGAAUACCAGUGGCGAAAGCGGCACCCUGGCGUCGUACUGACGCACAUGUGCGAAAGCGUGGGGAGCCGAACGGG
rnacentral:rRNA from 1 species